CAAAAACACCUCUUAAAGAUAAUAUAAUUUUAAGUUAGGUCUGCUCCAUGAAAAAUCUUAAAUAGCUGCAGAAAUGCACUAAGGUAGCAUAAUCAAUUGUUUUUUAAUUGAAAACUAGAAUGAAAGGCUUAAUAAAUAUUAAAAUUAAUUAAAUUACUAAGUAAAAUUUAAAUUUUAAUAAAAAUGUUAAAAAAGCUUUUAGGGACGAGAAGACCCUAGAAGCUUAAACCUAUAAAAGCGUUGGCUAAGAAAAGGUUUUAAUUGGGGCAAUAAUUUAAGUGUCAAAUUUAAAUAAUUUUAUUUAUUAAACUAUUAAUCUAGAACCAUAAAUUUUGAUUGUAGCAAAGUUACUUUAGGGAUAACAGCAUAAUUAGUAUUUUAGAGUCCUUAUCGAUAAUACUGGUUAUGACCUCGAUGUUGAAUUACUUUUCUAAUUAAUGAAGCCGUUAAUUAAGAAGGUCUGUUCGACCUACAAAUAAGUACAUGAUCUGAG
rnacentral:rRNA from 1 species